AGCGGCGAGCGAAGCGGGAAGAGCUCAAAUUUAUAAUCUGGCACCUUCGGUGUCCGAGUUGUAAUCUCUAGAAAUGUUUUCCGCGUUGGACCGCACACAAGUCUGUUGGAAUACAGCGGCAUAGUGGUGAGACCCCCGUAUAUGGUGCGGACGCCCAGCGCUUUGUGAUACAUUUUCGAAGAGUCGAGUUGUUUGGGAAUGCAGCUCAAAUUGGGUGGUAAAUUCCAUCUAAAGCUAAAUAUUGGCGAGAGACCGAUAGCGAACAAGUACCGUGAGGGAAAGAUGAAAAGCACUUUGGAAAGAGAGUUAACAGUACGUGAAAUUGUUGGAAGGGAAACGCUUGAAGUCAGACUUGCUUGCCGAGCAAUCGGUUUGCAGGCCAGCAUCAGUUUUCCGGGAUGGAUAAUGGUAGAGAGAAGGUAGCAGUUUCGGCUGUGUUAUAGCUCUCUGCUGGAUACAUCUUGGGGGACUGAGGAACGCAGUGUGCCUUUGGCGGGGGUUUCGACCUCUUCACACUUAGGAUGCUGGUGGAAUGGCUUUAAACGACCCGUCUUGAAACACGGACCAAGGAGUCUAACAUGCUUGCGAGUAUUUGGGUGUCAAACCCGGAUGCGUAAUGAAAGUGAAUGGAGGUGGGAACCGCAGGUGCACCAUCGACCGAUCUGGAUUUUUAAUGAUGGAUUUGAGUAAGAGCACGUAUGUUGGGACCCGAAAGAUGGUGAACUAUGCCUGAAUAGGGCGAAGCCAGAGGAAACUCUCGUGGAGGCUCGUAGCGGUUCUGACGUGCAAAUCGAUCGUCAAAUUUGGGUAUAGGGGCGAAAGACUA
rnacentral:rRNA from 1 species